GACACUCACUUUUGACUGGCUAAACCAGGGGUAUGGAACCUAUGGCACAUGUGCCAAAGGCGGUAUGCAAGCUAAUUUUCAGUGGCACUCACACUGCCCGGGUCC